rnacentral:rRNA from 1 species
UUAAGCGACUAAGCGUACACGGUGGAUGCCCUGGCAGUCAGAGGCGAUGAAGGACGUGCUAAUCUGCGAAAAGCGUCGGUAAGGUGAUAUGAACCGUUAUAACCGGCGAUGUCCGAAUGGGGAAACCCAGUGNUGUGAACUCGAAGAGUAGGGCGGGACACGUGGUAUCCUGUCUGAAUAUGGGGGGACCAUCCUCCAAGGCUAAAUACUCCUGACUGACCGAUAGUGAACCAGUACCGUGAGGGAAAGGCGAAAAGAACCCCGGCGAGGGGAGUGAAAAAGAACCUGAAACCGUGUACGUACAAGCAGUGGGAGCACCUUCGGGUGUGACUGCGUACCUUUUGUAUAAUGGGUCAGCGACUUAUAUUCUGUAGCAAGGUUAACCGUAUAGGGGAGCCGCAGGGAAACCGAGUCUUAACUGGGCGUUAAGUUGCAGGGUAUAGACCCGAAACCCGGUGAUCUAGCCAUGGGCAGGUUGAAGGUUGGGUAACACUAACUGGAGGACCGAACCGACUAAUGUUGAAAAAUUAGCGGAUGACUUGUGGCUGGGGGUGAAAGGCCAAUCAAACCGGGAGAUAGCUGGUUCUCCCCGAAAGCUAUUUAGGUAGCGCCUCGUGAACUCAUCUUCGGGGGUAGAGCACUGUUUCGGCUAGGGGGUCAUCCCGACUUACCAACCCGAUGCAAACUACGAAUACCGAAGAAUGUUAUCACGGGAGACACACGGCGGGUGCUAACGUCCGUCGUGAAGAGGGAAACAACCCAGACCGCCAGCUAAGGUCCCAAAGUCAUGGUUAAGUGGGAAACGAUGUGGGAAGGCACAGACAGCCAGGAUGUUGGCUUAGAAGCAGCCAUCAUUUAAAGAAAGCGUAAUAGCUCACUGGUCGAGUCGGCCUGCGCGGAAGAUGUAACGGGGCUAAACCAUGCACCGAAGCUGCGGCAGCGACACUAUGUGUUGUUGGGUAGGGGAGCGUUCUGUAAGCCUGCGAAGGUGUGCUGUGAGGCAUGCUGGAGGUAUCAGAAGUGCGAAUGCUGACAUAAGUAACGAUAAAGCGGGUGAAAAGCCCGCUCGCCGGAAGACCAAGGGUUCCUGUCCAACGUUAAUCGGGGCAGGGUGAGUCGACCCCUAAGGCGAGGCCGAAAGGCGUAGUCGAUGGGAAACAGGUUAAUAUUCCUGUACUUGGUGUUACUGCGAAGGGGGGACGGAGAAGGCUAUGUUAGCCGGGCGACGGUUGUCCCGGUUUAAGCAUGUAGGCUGAUUGUCCAGGCAAAUCCGGAUAAUCAAGGCUGAGGUGUGAUGACGAGGCACUACGGUGCUGAAGUAACAAAUGCCCUGCUUCCAGGAAAAGCCUCUAAGCAUCAGGUAACAUUAAAUCGUACCCCAAACCGACACAGGUGGUCAGGUAGAGAAUACCAAGGCGCUUGAGAGAACUCGGGUGAAGGAACUAGGCAAAAUGGUGCCGUAACUUCGGGAGAAGGCACGCUGGUGUGUAGGUGAAGUCCCUGCGGAUGGAGCUGAGACCAGUCGAAGAUACCAGCUGGCUGCAACUGUUUAUUAAAAACACAGCACUGUGCAAACACGAAAGUGGACGUAUACGGUGUGACGCCUGCCCGGUGCCGGAAGGUUAAUUGAUGGGGUUAUCCGUAAGGAGAAGCUCUUGAUCGAAGCCCCGGUAAACGGCGGCCGUAACUAUAACGGUCCUAAGGUAGCGAAAUUCCUUGUCGGGUAAGUUCCGACCUGCACGAAUGGCGUAAUGAUGGCCAGGCUGUCUCCACCCGAGACUCAGUGAAAUUGAACUCGCUGUGAAGAUGCAGUGUACCCGCGGCAAGACGGAAAGACCCCGUGAACCUUUACUAUAGCUUGACACUGAACAUUGAGCCUUGAUGUGUAGGAUAGGUGGGAGGCUUUGAAGCGUGGACGCCAGUCUGCGUGGAGCCAACCUUGAAAUACCACCCUUUAAUGUUUGAUGUUCUAACGUUGGCCCCUGACCGGGGUUGCGGACAGUGUCUGGUGGGUAGUUUGACUGGGGCGGUCUCCUCCCAAAGCGUAACGGAGGAGCACGAAGGUUAGCUAAUCCUGGUCGGACAUCAGGAGGUUAGUGCAAUGGCAUAAGCUAGCUUGACUGCGAGCGUGACGGCGCGAGCAGGUGCGAAAGCAGGUCAUAGUGAUCCGGUGGUUCUGAAUGGAAGGGCCAUCGCUCAACGGAUAAAAGGUACUCCGGGGAUAACAGGCUGAUACCGCCCAAGAGUUCAUAUCGACGGCGGUGUUUGGCACCUCGAUGUCGGCUCAUCACAUCCUGGGGCUGAAGUAGGUCCCAAGGGUAUGGCUGUUCGCCAUUUAAAGUGGUACGCGAGCUGGGUUUAGAACGUCGUGAGACAGUUCGGUCCCUAUCUGCCGUGGGCGCUGGAGAAUUGAGGGGGGCUGCUCCUAGUACGAGAGGACCGGAGUGGACGCAUCACUGGUGUUCGGGUUGUCAUGCCAAUGGCACUGCCCGGUAGCUAAAUGCGGAAGAGAUAAGUGCUGAAAGCAUCUAAGCACGAAACUUGCCCCGAGAUGAGUUCUCCCUGAGACUUUAAGUCUCCUGAAGGAACGUUNGACGUUGAUAGGCCGGGUGUGUAAGCGCAGCGAUGCGUUGAGCUAACCGGUACUAAUGAACCGUGAGGCUUAACCUU